CCUGAGUACGACGGAGCACGUGAAAUUCCGUCGGAAUCUGGGAGGACCAUCUCCUAAGGCUAAAUACUCUCUAGUGACCGAUAGUGAACCAGUACCGUGAGGGAAAGGUGAAAAGUACCCCGGAAGGGGAGUGAAAGAGAACUUGAAACCGUGUGCUUACAAGUAGUCAGAGCCCGUUAAUGGGUGAUGGCGUGCCUUUUGUAGAAUGAACCGGCGAGUUACGAUCUGAUGCAAGGUUAAGCAGAAAAUGUGGAGCCGUAGCGAAAGCGAGUCUGAAUAGGGCGAAUGAGUAUUUGGUCGUAGACCCGAAACCAGGUGAUCUACCCUUGGUCAGGUUGAAGUUCAGGUAACACUGAAUGGAGGACCGAACCGACUUACGUUGAAAAGUGAGCGGAUGAACUGAGGGUAGCGGAGAAAUUCCAAUCGAACUUGGAGAUAGCUGGUUCUCUCCGAAAUAGCUUUAGGGCUAGCCUCAAGUGAUGAUUAUUGGAGGUAGAGCACUGUUUGGACGAGGGGCCCCUCUCGGGUUACCGAAUUCAGACAAACUCCGAAUGCCAAAUAAUUUAACUUGGGAGUCAGAAUGUGGGUGAUAAGGUCCAUAUUCGAAAGGGAAACAGCCCAGACCACCAGCUAAGGUCCCAAAAUAUAUGUUAAGUGGAAAAGGAUGUGGCGUUGCCCAGACAACUAGGAUGUUGGCUUAGAAGCAGCCAUCAUUUAAAGAGUGCGUAAUAGCUCACUAGUCGAGUGACACUGCGCCGAAAAUGUACCGGGGCUAAACAUAUUACCGAAGCUGUGGAUUGUCCUUUGGACAAUGGUAGGAGAGCGUUCUAAGGGCGUUGAAGCAUGAUCGCAAGGACAUGUGGAGCGCUUAGAAGUGAGAAUGCCGGUGUGAGUAGCGAAAGACGGGUGAGAAUCCCGUCCACCGAUUGACUAAGGUUUCCAGAGGAAGGCUCGUCCGCUCUGGGUUAGUCGGGUCCUAAGCUGAGGCCGACAGGCGUAGGCGAUGGAUAACAGGUUGAUAUUCCUGUACCACCAUUAUUCGUUUUAAGCGAUGGGGGGACGCAGUAGGAUAGGCGAAGCGUGCUGUUGGAGUGCACGUCCAAGCAGUGAGAUUGAGUGUUAGGCAAAUCCGGCACUCUUAAGAUUGAGCUGUGAUGGGGAGAGGAACUUGUUCCUCGAGUCGUUGAUUUCACACUGCCGAGAAAAGCCUCUAGCUAGAAUAACGGUGCCCGUACCGCAAACCGACACAGGUAGUCAAGAUGAGAAUUCUAAGGUGAGCGAGCGAACUCUCGUUAAGGAACUCGGCAAAAUGACCCCGUAACUUCGGGAGAAGGGGUGCUCUUUGAGGUUCACGCUUCGAAGAGCCGCAGUGAAUAGGCCCAAGCGACUGUUUAUCAAAAACACAGGUCUCUGCUAAACCGUAAGGUGACGUAUAGGGGCUGACGCCUGCCCGGUGCUGGAAGGUUAAGAGGAGUGGUUAGCGCAAGCGAAGCUACGAAUCGAAGCCCCAGUAAACGGCGGCCGUAACUAUAACGGUCCUAAGGUAGCGAAAUUCCUUGUCGGGUAAGUUCCGACCCGCACGAAAGGCGUAACGAUUUGGGCACUGUCUCAACGAGAGACUCGGUGAAAUCAUAGUACCGGUGAAGAUGCCGGUUACCCGCGACAGGACGGAAAGACCCCGUGGAGCUUUACUGUAGCCUGAUAUUGAAAUUCGGUACAGUUUGUACAGGAUAGGUAGGAGCCUUAGAAGCGUGAGCGCUAGCUUACGUGGAGGCAUUGGUGGGAUACUACCCUAAUUG
rnacentral:rRNA from 1 species